UUAGCGUGAACAUCAUGACUGGUGUAAGAGCGCAAGAACAAAAGCAGGAAGUCAGGAUGGAGAAAGAGGUCCAGAAUAUAAUUAAUACGCAGCUCUUUUUCUGCACCGUUCGAUAGGAAGACAGAAAGAAUACAUGCUGGAGUAACACAACGUUGGAUAUUACUCGUGCCGCUUUUUCCCCCUCAAAGGAGCGUCGGAUGCGUCGCCCGGACCGUUAGACCGCAAACGUCGAGCGGGACAACGGGGUCGGCGUGUAUGUAGGAGUGCUGCGUUUAUUUUAAUGAUGUAAAACGUGGCAGGUUUCUCAGAGGGAAAAUGUGAUUAAAAAAAAAAAGAAAAUAAAGGAAGAUCAUUAAGUAACUCUCAGGAUUGCUAAGCAACCAAGAAAAAGUUUUAUUUUCCUCUUGCCCCCCUUUACAGUGAGACGAUUUGGCACGAUGAACAAGUUAGAAGUCUUCCAGAUCGUGAGGAAGAACUUAUAUUACAUAAAUAUUACUUUAAUAACACCACAAGCACCGUUAGAUGAAAAGUCGUCCCAUUUUUUAAAUCAGACUAGGAGACUGUAGAGCUGGGAGAAGUGACAAAAAGGUCAUGUCACGAUACUUGACGUUUGGACAGAUUACGAUUCACGCUGCGUAUCACAGUAUACCGUGUUAGCUAGAAAAAUGUCUGCAGAACUGUAGCAAAAUAAACAACAAAAAAACACAACUUAUAAAACACGUCACCAUACCAACGAUAUCUCGGACGGGUGUAUCACGUAAUCCUGAUCACGAUAUUAUAUUGAUUUAUCGCCCAGCACUAUGAGACCGUGCUCAACACAUACGACUGUGAAUCUCUCUCUCCUCACUGAGCCAAUCAUGAGAGUCUGUGAGGUCAUGCAUGCGGAAGAGGGCGACUUUUGUUUACUAAAUACAAACAAAUCUGCACUUUACUGUACAUAUACGCCGAUUUCAAAAUCAAACACGUACCUCGGUUAAAGUGCGAACACGCAAGUAGAACCCGAUGUCCCCGCCAUGGUGCUUCUUGUCGUUAACCAUCAUAAAACACACAUCAAACAGGAAGGAAGCGUAUGGAAUUUGACCUUGCAGUGACCUUGAUUUAAUCAGUCUCUAAUCGGCUGGUUACAAUGUUAAUUCCAUAUAAAUAUCCCAAACACUCAUCACCCAUAUACAUACCCAUACACUCGUCACCACGGAGCAUACACUCAUCACCACGCCUAUACACUCUCCACCACGCCCCAUAAACAUCACCACGGCCUAUACAUUCAUAACCACGCCCCAUAAACAUCACCACGGCCUAUACAUUCAUAACCACGCCCCAUAAACAUCACCACGGCCCAUACACUCGUCACCACGCCCCAUAAACAUUACCACGGCCCAUACACUCGUCAGCACGGCGCAUACACUUGUCACCACGCCCCAUAAACAUCACCACGGCCCAUACACUAGUCAGCACGGCGCAUACACUCGUCACCACGCCCCACACACUCGUCACCACGCCCCACACACUCGUCACCAUGGCCCAUACACUCA
ensembl:lncRNA